rnacentral:rRNA from 1 species
AUGACUAGGGAUAACCUUAGGAAGAGACACAUCAUCAAACCCCUUGAUUGUGUUUACUGCUUGGAACAAGAGUCUUGUUCUCACCUAUUUUUUGAAUGUAUAGUUGCUAAACAUCUCUGGGCCCACAAUGAGGAAUAUUUCUCUAGUCAGAUUGGCUUAUCCUUUGAAUCUAUCGCCAGAUUCUGGAUUGCUACCAAAAAGUGCUCAGUUUUAAACACUGUUAGCUCAGCUGUCCUUUGGUGCCUCUGGAAAUAUAGAAAUGCUAUGAUUUUCAGUAACACCUCCUGGAUUUCCAUUCCGCAGGUCUUGUGGUUGAUCAGGAACAUGGAGAGGAACUGGGCGAUUCUCUCCUCCGGAUCGGACAAGGACAAGUUGAUGAGCUUCGUGGAAACCCUAACAAGAUCCCUCCAGAAACCGUUGGCGAUCACUUGUGGCUGA